rfam:Ictidomys tridecemlineatus contig046241, whole genome shotgun sequence.
GGAUAUAAGUGCAAUCUAACUGUGACAUGUCACCCCAAUGACCACGAGGGCUGACUUGGCUUAUCUGGCUAGCAAGGUAGGUGUGCCUAGAUGCACUCGCUACUCUGUGUGCAUCUCUCCAUAAACUGCACAUUUGGUCAAAGAGGAUAACAUUUCCCAAAAGAGGAAAAUCUUUCUUUAGUCAAGGAUAUACAAAAGUAGCUGUACUCCCCUGCUAAAACCUCCCCUGCUAAAACCUCCCCUGCUAAAACCUCCCCAAAAGCUCUCAAGAUAUAUACACCAAGAAACUUUAAAAAUUACCU